GCGUGCGCAUGUGCUGGUGUGCGUGUGCACGCACGUGCCUGGGUGUGCACCUGCACCGAUGUAUGUGUGCGUGUGAGGCUGUGCACACCUGCCUGGGUGAACACACAUGCGUGCAUGUUUGCAGUGUCUGGACCCUUGGCUGGGAAGGAAAUGCUCACAACAGUCACUCUCAGUUCCGGAGAACUUGGAUGUGUUGGAGGAACAGCCCCAGAGAGCGGCUGGGGAGGCUUCGGAGCGCCCCUGCUUGCUCCUUCCUGCCACGUGGGUGUCUCCCUCGGCAAGACUCCCGCUCUGCCCCGGCUGUCCGGACGGCACCUUCAGUCUCCAGUGUGCAAGGGACCCAUUUCCAUGCAUUUCUUGAGAACACGCUCUCUCUCCUGAACUCCGUGAUCUUCCCCCUUGGGUUUCAUUUCUUCUUUUCCAGAGGACAUAAACUACACUUCACCAGGUGUGAGUAUCAUGCAGUGGAGGUGGUGCUCCAGCCCUUGGGACCGCCCUGAGUCUGGUGGAGAACCCACCAGCCCUGCCCGGAAGCCCCAGGGUUCUUCGUGGACACGCCCAUCCCAUCGAGGACCAGCCAGAGGAAGCCAGAUAUGCAUCCCUAAUGAGUCAUGUGGCUGACCCACUUCUAGUUAGCCACCCGCGGGCCACAGCCUCCCUCCAGGGCGCGCCUGGAGCCUCCCUGUUCUCACAAGGAAGCUUCCCCACUCCUCUGCCUGCCUGUGAGUUUCCACCAAACGCAGAUGACCCCCUUGAUGUAGCAAGCUCUGAAUAAAUAGCCUUUGCCCUUC